CCUACGGGAGGCAGCAGUUAGGAAUUUUGCGCAAUGGGGGAAACCCUGACGCAGCAACGCCGCGUGAAGGAUGAAGGCCUUCGGGUUGUAAACUUCUUUUAGCAGGAAAGAACAAAAUGACGGUACCUGCAGAAAAAGCACCGGCUAACUCUGUGCCAGCAGCCGCGGUAAUACAGAGGGUGCAAGCGUUAUUCGGAAUUACUGGGCAUAAAGAGCGCGUAGGCGGUCUGAUAAGUCUGAUGUGAAAGCCCUGGACUCAAUCCAGGAAGUGCAUCGGAUACUGUCAGACUUGAGUGAAGGAGGGGAGAGCGGAAUUCCUGGUGUAGAGGUGAAAUUCGUAGAUAUCAGGAGGAACAACAGUGGCGAAGGCGGCUCUCUGGACUUUAACUGACGCUGAGGCGCGAAAGCGUGGGGAGCAAACAGGAUUAGAUACCCUUGUAGUC
rnacentral:rRNA from 1 species